GUAGCGAAAUUCCUUGUCGGGUAAGUUCCGACCUGCACGAAUGGCGUAACGACUUCCCCGCUGUCUCCAACAUCGGCUCAGCGAAAUUGAAUUGCCUGUCAAGAUGCAGGCUUCCCGCGGUUAGACGGAAAGACCCCGUGCACCUUUACUACAGCUUCAGACUGGCAUCAGGAUUGCGAUGUGCAGGAUAGGUGGCAGGCUUCGAAGCCGGGACGCCAGUUCCGGUGGAGCCUCCCUUGAGAUACCACCCUUCGCACUCUUGAUGUCUAACCGCGGCCCCUGAUCGGGGUCCGGGACCCUCUGUGGCGGGUAGUUUGACUGGGGCGGUCGCCUCCCAAAGAGUAACGGAGGCGCGCGAAGGUUGGCUCAGAGCGGUCGGAAAUCGCUCGUUGAGUGCAAUGGCAGAAGCCAGCCUGACUGCGAGACUGACAGGUCGAGCAGAGACGAAAGUCGGCCAUAGUGAUCCGGUGGUCCCGCGUGGAAGGGCCAUCGCUCAACGGAUAAAAGGUACGCCGGGGAUAACAGGCUGAUACUGCCCAAGAGUCCAUAUCGACGGCAGUGUUUGGCACCUCGAUGUCGGCUCAUCUCAUCCUGGGGCUGGAGCAGGUCCCAAGGGUACGGCUGUUCGCCGUUUAAAGAGGUACGUGAGCUGGGUUUAGAACGUCGUGAGACAGUUCGGUCCCUAUCUGCCGUGGGUGCAGGAUACUUGAGAGGAGUUGCCCCUAGUACGAGAGGACCGGGGUGAACGAUCCACUGGUGGACCUGUUGUGGCGCCAGCCGCAGUGCAGGGUAGCUAUGAUCGGACGGGAUAACCGCUGAAGGCAUCUAAGCGGGAAGCCCCCCUCGAAACAAGGUAUCCCCGAGGGCCGUGGUAGACCACCACGUCGAUAGGCCGGAGGUGUAAGCGCAGCAAUGCGCUCAGCUGACCGGUACUAAUGGCCCGACAGGCUUGAUCCGAUCCAG
rnacentral:rRNA from 2 species